GACAGAGGGUGCGAACGUUGUUCGGAAUUACUGGGCGUAAAGCGCGUGUAGGCUGCUUUGCAAGUCGGAUGUGAAAGCCCUGGGCUCAACCUAGGAAGUGCACUCGAAACUGCAGAGCUUGAGGUCUGGAGAGGAAGGCGGAAUUCUCGGUGUAGAGGUGAAAUUCGUAGAUAUCGAGAGGAACACCGGUGGCGAAGGCGGCCUUCUGGACAGCACCUGACGCUGAGACGCGAAAGCGUGGGGAGCAAACAGGAUUAGAAACCCCGGUAGUCC
rnacentral:rRNA from 1 species